UAGGGAAUCUUCGGCAAUGGGGGGAACCCUGACCGAGCAACGCCGCGUGAGUGAAGAAGGUUUUCGGAUCGUAAAGCUCUGUUGUUAAGGAAGAACGAGUGUGAGAAUGGAAAGUUCAUACUGUGACGGUACUUAACCAGAAAGGGACGGCUAACUACGUGCCAGCAGCCGCGGUAAUACGUAGGUGGCAAGCGUUGUCCGGAUUUAUUGGGCGUAAAGCGCGCGCAGGCGGACUAGCCAGUCAGUCUUAAAAGUUCGGGGCUUAACCCCGUGAUGGGAUUGAAACUACUAGUCUAGAGUAUCGGAGAGGAAAGUGGAAUUCCUAGUGUAGCGGUGAAAUGCGUAGAUAUUAGGAAGAACACCAGUGGCGAAGGCGACUUUCUGGACGAACACUGACGCUGAGGCGCGAAAGCCAGGGGAGCGAACGGG
rnacentral:rRNA from 1 species